UAAGUUAUAUAAAAUCGGUUGAAACCAAUUUAUUUUGUUACCUCACAAUGCUAAAUUGUGCUAUCAUUACAACCAACAAUGUCUAUAAAACAGGCUUCAGUCCUUCGGUUGUUAAGCAGGUCAACUGUUGCUUUGCUUUCUAAUGAGCUCUGGAUAUAUCUAAAGAAUGUUUUGAUGUUGCAGACAUACCUGCCCCCAGGCAUGACGGUUAAGGCUGUCUGCCAGCACCUAAGCUUUACAGAUAUAUCACGUGAUAGCUUAUGCAACUGACAUGGGCUUUAUAUACUAGUAGAGCACUGGCAUAUAAGGGGCUUAUGGAAAGGACCUCAGCAGGUCAAGAAAAAUUGUUUGCAUUCAUCUUUACAUGAGCUCCUUUUAAUAUUUAUUUAACACUUCUAAUCUCAAAAUGUUUUGGCAUAUUUGGUCAAACCUUUUAUUUAGUACAAGGUCAUCUAGAAAGAAGAUCUGUAGAACAUAGUAACAUUAUUUCUUUUCUAAAGUUUUAGGGGCUGAAGUUACACAGACUGCUAAAAUGGUGAUUCACCUAUGGAGGAUCACACCUGGAUAUAUAAGAUUAUUGCAGACUCAAGCUGCGGGAAAAAUAGUUAUCAACACAACAGACAUAUUGAUGCAACGUACAGCCUUGCUAUUGGGAAUGUUUGGGAUCAGUGUAUCUGGCUACAGUACACACCAGCUGACUCAAGAGAAGAGACUUUGCUUGACCCUUUAAGCUGUGUUGGGAUAUGACCCAAGAAAUGAGAUUUAUGUUGAUAGAGCUGAGUAAUGUUUUUUCUCUCCAUUAUCAGUUUGGAGUUUGAGAGACACUUCAGUCUAGAUUUCUAAAUGCAAACUUGAAAAACUAGGGAAAGAACUGCAGAUCUCUGCAGGGGAAAUAAUGACUGAUGAUUGGGGGAGAUAUUAGAUGUGCAAGCAAAAUGAAGUAUCUGCAAAAUGUGAUGGAUUUCUUUGGUUAUACUAUAUGUACAUAGAGAGAAGGUUACAUAUAUGAUGUACAGUUAAAAUCAGAGUAGGUAUAAACAGAUUGAUGGGGGUGCCAUGCUCAAUUAGGGUCACCUUGUAACAGCUUCUGAAAAUCAUCUCAAUACAAAGACUUAUUCUGAAAGGGAGUGUUGGAAGCAAUGUAUUUUCUUGACAAGACUUAGAGCAAACAGCAAAAUACCUCCCAUGAACCAUUAAUAUUGGACAUACACACAGGAAUAUACCUUAGACAUCUGUGUGCAUAUCAGAAUUUGCAGAAUCUGUCCUUUACUGCUGUUGAUCUUUGGACUCUCUUUAUCUGAAAAUGUUCAUACAAUGUAACAUAUUUUAAUAUCCUAACAUAUCAUAGAAAAAUGGCUGUAGAUUAUUUGUUGUAGACAUGGUAUUGGAAAGGAUUAGCAAUACCAAAGUAACCUUUUCUUCUGUUAGUAUUUUAUGUUUUUAUAUGAAUUUUUUUAGGUCUUUAAUAUUUUGAAAUUUUGUACUCUAGAAGAGAACAAUAAGCAUGAUGGGUUGUCCUUUACAGCUGAGUUGAGCAUGUCGGAUCAUAUUCCCUCUACAUAGUUUGUUGAUCCCAUAACACACAUUCUGAUUAAAAUAGCAAUGGAGUUUGUGAUUUCCUUCCCCACUCCCACAUUAUUUUUCUGUCUAAUUUAAUGCAGUACUUUCCUUUUAUUUUAACUGUUUCAGAUAGUUUAUGCAGGCACAGCUUUGUAGACUACUUUAUGUUGGUUCGUUAGGAUUUAAACUCGUGUCUUCCAUGUUAAUCAGCAAAACAAAUAUUUUAUUUUUUUCUAAGUGUUUUGAAUAAUUUCUUCUGUCAACAGUAUUUACAUUCAGCCACUAAGGGGCAUCCUACACAGCUGAAUAUUUUUAUGUUUCAAGAUAGUUCUAUGCAACAUUUUAAAUCUGAGUCUAUCUGUGAUAUAUAUGCAACAUUUUAAAUCUGAGUCUAUCUGUGAUUUAUAUCAUGUUGAGCUGUUUUUUACCCCUCUCCACCUAAAAAAGAAACCCAAUGGGAUUAAAUUAAAGAAUAGAAAAUGAGUUUUUAGCUGGUCAAUAUCACUUUGUUUGUACUAAAAUUAUAAAAGGAUAUGGUUCUAUGUUCUGCCUUCACAUAAAGAGGAAUCAGAAAAAUGUCAUCGUUUCAGCCCAAAUAAAAGUGAUAUUAUAAGUGGAAGAUACAUAAUUGUAUUAAACCUCUCAUCAGUCUAGGGAUGGGGAUACAUUUUUUUUCACAAAUAAUUCUAUAUUCUUACAAUUUUGUAAGUCAGUACUUAUUAUAUUGAUUGCUUGCAUUUUUGUAUUAGCUGUUAACUGUUGUCGAAAGGUAAAUAUACAAGAACAUUAAAUGUCACAGGUUCCAUUAAGUGUGUUCAAAUAAAAAUGUUGGGCUCACUAACAUUACAUCAUGUGUUGUAUCAAGUUAAGUAUAACUGUUGUAACAAUAAAACGUUCAAGAAUGAA